AUACUUACCUGGCAGGGGAGAUACCAUGAUCACGAAGGUGGUUUUCCCAGGGCGAGGCUUAUCCAUUGC
ensembl:snRNA U1 U1 spliceosomal RNA